rnacentral:miRNA from 1 species
AUGUUGCUGGAAGGAGCAGA